GACGAACGCUGGCGGCGUGCUUAACACAUGCAAGUCGAACGGUGAAGCGCCUUCCUUUUUGGUGGGUGUGGAUGAGUGGCGAACGGGUGAGUAACACGUGAGUAACCUGCCCCCUUCUUCUGGAUAACCGCAUGAAAGUGUGGCUAAUACGGGAUAUUCUGGGUCUGUCGCAUGAUGGGUCUGGGAAAGAUAUUGUUUCGGUGGGGGAUGGGCUCGCGGCCUAUCAGCUUGUUGGUGGGGUGAUGGCCUACCAAGGCGGUGACGGGUAGCCGGCCUGAGAGGGUGGACGGCACACCGGGGACGGGGAACCGGCCCGGCCUCUUAGGGGAGGAGGCGGGGGGAAUAAUGGACAAAGGGGGGCAGGCCUGAGGCAGCGCCGCGGGGUGGGGAUGGAGGCCUGCGGGUUGUGAACCUCUUUCGCCAGUGAAGCAGGCCUGCCUCGUUUGUGGGUGGGUUGACGGUAGCUGGAUAAGAAGCGCCGGCUAACUACGUG
rnacentral:rRNA from 1 species